rnacentral:rRNA from 1 species
GACGAACGCUGGCGGCGUGCUUAACACAUGCAAGUCGAACGAAGUGGCGAACGGGUGAGUAACGCGUAAUUAACCUGCCCUUCAGAGGGGGACAACAGUUGGAAACGACUGCUAAUACCGCAUACUGAAGGAGGGGAUUGCGUCGGAUUAGCUAGUUGGAGGGGUAACGGCCCACCAAGGCGAUGAUCAGUAGCAGGUCUGGGAGGAUGAACGGCCACAUUGGGAUUGAGAAAAGGCCCAGACUGCUACGGGGGGUAGCAGGGGGGAAUCUGCCGCAAAGGACGCAAGUCUGACGGAGCAACGCCGCGGGAGUGAUGACGGCCUUCGGGGUGUAAAGCUCUGUUAAUCGGGACGCGGUACCGGAAUAGAAAGCCACGGCUAACUACGUGCCAGCCGCCGCGGUAAUAC